rnacentral:rRNA from 1 species
UACGGGAGGCAGCAGUGGGGAAUAUUGCACAAUGGGCGAAAGCCUGAUGCAGCUAUGCCGCGUGUAUGAAGAAGGCCUUAGGGUUGUAAAGUACUUUCAUCGGGGAGGAAAAACAAAACUAAUAAUUUUAUUUCUUGACGUUACCCGAAAAAGAAGCACCGGCUAACUCCGUGCCAGCAGCCGCGGUAAUACGGAGGGUGCUAGCGUUAAUCAGAAUUACUGGGCGUAAAGAGCACGUAGGUGGUUUUUUUAAGUCAGAUGUGAAAUCCCUGGGCUUAACCUAGGAACUGCAUUUUGAAACUGAAAUACUAGAGUAUCGUAGAGGGAGGUAGAAUUCUAGGUGUAGCGGUGAAAUGCGUAGAUAUCUGGAGGAAUACCUGUGGCGAAAGCGGCCUCCUAAACGAAUACUGACACUGAGGUGCGAAAGCGUGGGGAGCAAACAGGGAUUAGACUACC